rnacentral:lncRNA from 1 species
CUGUUAGUCUGUUACGAGAUCCCAGCUGAGUUAAAAAGUGAACUUUAACUAGUUUCACUUGAUGCUGCAGCUCGCGACUGCCAUCACAAGAUCAGAGCUAGACCAAGGCUCAAUCUGCUUUCCGUGUCACUAUCUGGAGUGGAGCGCAGAUGGGCACCACAACUUGCGAAGCUCCUGAGAUGAACAUGUGUCGCUUUCAAAACGAGCUUUCUCCCCCCACCUCCCCAAGGCAGGAAGAGGGUGACUCACUCAAUCUCUCUCUUUUCUUCCUUCCCUCCCUCUCUAGCCUCAGAUGCCUGGGUGUGCUGGGGUGCAGCAAGUGGAGGGACCCACGUUCUCGGCAGAAUACAGCAGAAAGAAAAGCCGUUGGAGAACUGGUGAAGUACCAUGAUUAAUUCUGGAAAGUCAGUGGGCCAAGGACCAGCCCUUCCGACUGAGCUGCCGAAAAGAAAGCGAGGGCGGCCUAGAAAGCAGCCACAGGAGUCUGCUGGGCCAUUGCCACCGAAGAAACCACGUGGAAGGCCAAAAGGAAGCAAGAAGUUGAAUACUGGUAGUGGACAGAUGGUGCACACCAUGGCUGAAAAAAAGCCCAGGGGAAGACCACGGAAAUGGCUUAUUGUCCAGGAGGAUGCAUAUCAAAAAGCUGGUACUGAAGGGAGAAUCAACCCAAGUUCUGCUACUGCAUGCCCUACCACUGAAGGUUUGUGGCAUCAAAGAGCAGCUUUUGAAAGUAAUAUUAGAAGUGGCCCUUGCAUGGGACAGAUGGAAGUGGCCUAGCCCACUGCAGGAAGUGUUCCACCAAUUGUUUCUUAUUGAAAGGGCCUAAAGUAAGAAGAAAGGAACUGAGAAGGUGUUGAUUGUACCAUGUAUCUUCUCCCCGCAUACUGUUAAGUUUUUCAAUCAUCUUACGUACCUCAUAAGCUGGUGACUGUCGAACGGCCAAGCACGGCAUCGAUUUCUAAGAAAGUACGCCGCGAUGCCACUUGAUAAAUGCUGGGGUAUUUAACCUCACUUGUUUGAGUCCAUUUCCUUUCCUAUUCCUGCUAUCAUGUCAUUUCUCACCACUAAGGCAGACAGUGACAUCAGCACCGCCACAGACUCCUUUGUGAUGGCCUCGCUUCCUGCCCAGAGCUCUGUCAAAUCUGUAUCUUCUGUAGAGACUUCAUGCCACUUGAAACAACAGCUACCGCCUGUUGCGCUUCCGCCUUCUGCUCAAAUAACCACACUUAUACCUGCCUGCCUGCCCUCCUACAGCAUCCUAUCCUGUGCCACCCAAUAAGAAAGGUGAAAGAUUAAAGCAGUGAUGUGAGUACAAGAAUAGGUCUGUGAGAAAUGUGACAUUUUAAUACGGUUUGCUUAGAAUUCAGGGAGAAAUGAUUGGUUGGUAGCUCCUCCUUUCUCUGUGAGAAGGCAGAGAUUUAAAACAACGGAGAUGCUUGAUGAUCACUGCACUCCACAGUGCAUAAAGCUAGGAGAAUUUGGUGACACAAUGCAACUGCUGCAGCACAGGCUGCUUAUCAGCCAGGAAGUCAAGGCCAGCUUCAAGGACUGCAGCAUAGCAAAAGGCCAUCUAGCUGGUGCCCUCUGACAUCCAUCUGGUUUGUCUCUCCUAUACAGGUUUACUGUUUCUUUAGAAGUCUGGCAAGCAGGCAGCAGUAGAGGUGCGGUGGCCUGGAUUGAGGUUUUGGGAGCUGUCCAGCAUUUUUAUCUUCCUGCAGUACUUUAAUGCACAUGUUUUUUUUGGGGGGGUAGCUUUUUAUUAAAAUACCCACUAGGC